UAGAAAGUAAUAUAAGGGGAGUAUGGAGGAUUUUGAUUCCUCUUGUGUAGGUUCGAUUCCUACUUUUCUAU
rnacentral:tRNA from 1 species